CAGUUCGGGAUCAGCUUAUGAAAGCCAUCAGCAGACUCCCAAAUGUUCUGAGAUAAAAGGUGCUGCACAGACCAAUGGGAAUAUUACCAGUGUGUUUCCAAAACAGACUUUGUCCACUGCUUAAAAAUAAAUGCAAAGAAAAUUCCUUGCAAAGAUAUACUGGUGAGUUAAGCCAUACUGAGCCCUACUGAUUUUGAGAGGAGGAUAUGGCUUUCAGCAGCAGCCCAUGGCUCCUGGACUUCUCAUAGUGUGAUGGGCUUCCAGAGUUCCUGGUGUUCACACCCUGUGCAUCUGAGAGGUAUCUUAUCUGUGAGUAGAUGAUGCUGAAAUGCAUGUGUUACUUCACAUACUGUGAUCAGUUUUCGGGAGCUGAAAUGUCUCAGUCUCAUAGCAUAGA
rnacentral:lncRNA from 1 species